rnacentral:tRNA from 1 species
GCCGGGGUGGCGGAACAGGCAGACGCAAGGGACUUAAAAUCCCUCGGGUAUGCAAUACCUGUACCGGUUCGAGUCCGGUCCCCGGCACCA